GGGAAGAUGGCUCAGUGGUUAAGAGCACUGACUGCUCUUCCAGGGGACCUGGGUUCAAUUCCCAGCACCCA
rfam:Cricetulus griseus cell line CHO-K1, whole genome shotgun sequence.